rnacentral:rRNA from 1 species
GAUGAACGCUAGCGGCAGGCUUAAUACAUGCAAGUCGAGGGGCAGCAUGAUUGUAGCAAUACAAUUGAUGGCGACCGGCAAACGGGUGCGGAACACGUACACAACCUCCCAAUAAGUGGGGAAUAGCCCAGAGAAAUUUGGAUUAAUACCCCGUAACAUAACGAUGUGGCAUCACAUUGUUAUUAUAGAUUUUUCGCUUAUUGAUGGGUGUGCGGCUGAUUAGAUAGUUGGCGGGGUAACGGCCCACCAAGUCUACGAUCAGUAGCUGAUGUGAGAGCAUGAUCAGCCAAACGGGAACUGAGACACGGGCCCGACUCCUACGGGAGGCAGCAGUAAGGAAUAUUGGACAAUGGACGCAAGUCUGAUCCAGCCAUGCCGCGUGAAGGAUUAAGGUCCUCUGGAUUGUAAACUUCUUUUAUAAGGGACGAAAAAAGGCUUUUCUAAGUCGUCUGACGGUACCUUAUGAAUAAGCACCGGCUAACUCCGUGCCAGCAGCCGCCGUAAGAC